rnacentral:rRNA from 1 species
UACGAAGGGGGCUAGCGUUGCUCGGAAUCACUGGGCGUAAAGCGCACGUAGGCGGCUUUUUAAGUCAGGGGUGAAAUCCUGGAGAUCAACUCCAGAACUGCCUUUGAUACUGAGAAGCUUGAGUUCGGGAGAGGGAUGCGGAAUUCCAGGUGUAGCGGUGAAAUGCGUAGAUAUCUGGAGGAACACCGGUGGCGAAGGCGGCAUCCUGGACCGACACUGACGCUGAGGAGCGAAAGCCAGGGGAGCAAACGGG